UGCCCGGUGGUGUAAAUGGCAACACAGCAGAAUUUGGAUCUGCUUUUCCAGGUUCGAGUCCUGGCUGGGCAG
rnacentral:tRNA from 1 species